AUUGAACGCUGGCGGAAUGCUUUACACAUGCAAGUCGAACGGCAGCGCGGGUGCUUGCACCUGGCGGCGAGUGGCGAACGGGUGAGUAACAUAUCGGAACGUGCCCAGUAAUGGGGGAUAACUAAUCGAAAGGUUAGCUAAUACCGCAUACGCCCAGAGGGGGAAAGCGGGGGAUCGUAAGACCUCGCGUUAUUGGACCGGCCGAUAUCUGAUUAGCUGGUUGGCAGGUGAAAGGCAUACAAAGGCGACGAUCAGUAGCUGUUCGGAGCGGAUGAUAGGCCACACUGGGACUGAGACACGGCCCAGACUCCUACGGGAGGCAGCAGUGGGGAAUUUUGAACAAUGGGCGAAAGCCUGAUCCAGCCAUUCCGCGUGAGUGAAGAAGGCCUUCGGGUUGUAAAGCUCUUUCGGCAGGAACGAAACGGUGCUCCCUAAGACGGAGUGCUAAUGACGGUACCUGAAGAAGAAGCACCGGCUAACUACGUGCCAGCCGCCGCCGUAA
rnacentral:rRNA from 1 species